AUUGAACGCUGGCGGCAGGCCUAACACAUGCAAGUCGAACGAGCGGCGGACGGGUGAGUAAUGUAUGGGGAUCUGCCCGAUAGAGGGGGAUAACUACUGGAAACGGUGGCUAAUACCGCAUACUAUCGGAUGUACCCAUAUGGGAUUAGCUUGUAGGUGGGGUAAAGGCUCACCUAGGCGACGAUCGCUAGCUGGUCUGAGAGGAUGAUCAGCCACACUGGAACUGAGACACGGCCCAGACUCCUACGGGAGGCAGCAGUGGGGAAUAUUGCGCAAUGGGGGCAAGCCUGAUGCAGCCAUGCCGCGUGAAUGAAGAAGGCCUUCGGGUUGUAAAGUACUUUCAGUAGGGAGGCGUUAACUACAGAAGAAGCACCGGCUAACUCCGUGCCAGCAGCCGCGGUAAUUC
rnacentral:rRNA from 1 species